rnacentral:rRNA from 1 species
UACGAAGGGGGCUAGCGUUGCUCGGAAUCACUGGGCGUAAAGCGCACGUAGGCGGAUUGCUAAGUCAGGGGUGAAAUCCUGGAGCUCAACUCCAGAACUGCCUUUGAUACUGGAAAGCUCGAGUCCGGGAGAGGUGAGUGGAACUGCGAGUGUAGAGGUGAAAUUCGUAGAUAUUCGCAAGAACACCAGUGGCGAAGGCGGCUCACUGGCCCGGUACUGACGCUGAGGUGCGAAAGCGUGGGGAGCAAACAGG